rnacentral:rRNA from 1 species
UUAACAAAAACAUGUCUUUUUGAGUUAUUUUUAAAGUCUGACCUGCCCACUGAAUAUAUUUAAAUGGCCGCAGUAUUCUAACUGUGCAAAGGUAGCAUAAUCAUUAGUCUUUUAAUUGAAGGCUGGUAUGAACGGUUGGACGAGGUAUAAGCUGUUUCAUAUAAAUUUAUAAUAGAAUUUUAUAUUUUAGUCAAAAAGCUAAAAUUUAAUUAAAAGACGAGAAGACCCUAUAAAUCUUUAUACUUUGUGUUAUUUAAGUUUUUUGGAUUUAUUUUAUUUUUAUAGUGUAAAGUAUUUUGUUGGGGUGAUGUUAAAAUUUAAUGAACUUUUAAUUUUUUAAACUCAUUAAUUUAUGAAUUAUUGAUCCAUUAGUAGUGAUUAGAAGAUGAAGUUACUUUAGGGAUAACAGCGUAAUUUUUUUGGAGAGUUCAUAUCGAUAAAAAAGUUUGCGACCUCGAUGUUGGAUUAAGAUAUAAUUUUAGGUGUAGCCGCUUAAAUGUUAAGUCUGUUCGACUUUUAAAUUCUUACGUGAUCUGAGUUC